UACGUAGGGUGCGAGCGUUGUCCGGAUUUAUUGGGCGUAAAGAGCUCGUAGGCGGCUCGUCGCGUCGACCGUGAAAACUUGGGGCUUAACCCUAAGCUUGCGGUUGAUACGGGCGGGCUAGAGUUCGGUAGGGGAGACUGGAAUUCCUGGUGUAGCGGUGAAAUGCGCAGAUAUCAGGAGGAACACCGGUGGCGAAGGCGGGUCUCUGGGCAGUAACUGACGCUGAGGAGCGAAAGCGUGGGGAGCGAACAGG
rnacentral:rRNA from 1 species